UUAUAACUUAAGUACUCGUGUGGCUCAUUUAUAUUCGGGCCUAACACUUUUAAUAAGGGAAUAAGAAUCGUUUAUAAGUAUAGUAUGCUUCUCCUCCUUAUGUGACGAGAAGAACUUAGAACAUAGCGCUAUUAUACCCACCUGAUUAUAUCAGGACCAAUCUUUUUGAGUUUCUACGGUACUUCGGUUUUUAU
rnacentral:other from 1 species